rnacentral:piRNA from 1 species
UGGCCAGUGUCACACUUCAACCUUUGGAC